rnacentral:misc_RNA from 1 species
GAUGAAGAACGCAGCAAAAUGCGAUACUUGGUGUGAAUUGCAGAAUCCCGUGAACCAUCGAGUUUUUGAACGCAAGUUGCGCCCGAAGCCUUUUGGCCGAGGGCACGUCUGCCUGGGCGUCACGCAUCGCGUCGCCCCCCACAAAUUCUCCGUCAGGGGAGCUUGUGUUUCGGGGGCGGAUACUGGUCUCCCUGCCCAUGGCGCGGUUGGCCGAAAUAGGAGUCCCUUCGAUGGACGCACGAACUAGUGGUGGUCGUAAAAACCCUCGUCUUUUGUUUCGUGCCGUUAGUCGCGAGGGAAGCUCUUCAAAAACCCCAACGCGUCGUCUCUUGACGGCGCUUCGACCGCGACCCCAGGUCAGGCGGGACUACCCGCUGAGUUUAAGCAUAUCAAUCAGCGGAGGA